AGAGUUUGAUCCUGGCUCAGGAUGAACGCUGGCGGCGUGCCUAACACAUGCAAGUCGAACGAAGCAUGACCCAUGAGGCCUUCGGGCGGAAUGGGUCAUGACUUAGUGGCGGACGGGUGAGUAACGCGUGGGUAACCUGCCCUAUACUGGGGGAUAACAGCUAGAAAUGGCUGCUAAUACCGCAUGAGCGCACAGUCCCGCAUGGGACAGUGCGGAAAACUCCGGUGGUAUAGGAUGGACCCGCGUCCGAUCAGCUGGUUGGUGGGGUAACGGCCCACCAAGGCGACGAUCGGUAGCCGACCUGAGGGGGUGACCGGCCACAUUGGGACUGAGACACGGCCCGGAAACUCCUACGGGAGGCAGCAGUGGGGGAUAUUGCACAAUGGGGGGAACCCUGAUGCAGCGACGCCGCGUGAGUGAAGGAGUACUCCGGUAUGUAAAGCUCUAUCAGCAGGGAAGAAGCAAGACGGUACCUGACCAAGAAGCCCCGGCUAACUACGUG
rnacentral:rRNA from 1 species